rnacentral:lncRNA from 1 species
AACUGAUUGAUCUAUAAGGAAUGAGGUAGGUGGCCAAGGGUCGCAAAAUGUGUCCACCAGCUCUGGGCCUCCCCUACCUGCAGGUGGCAGGUGGCUGGUCCCUCCUUCCUGUGGUCUGAGGAAUGUACCUAGCUCCUCCCUUCCAGAGGGGAGGGCUGCCUAUAGUCUUCAUGACCUUUCUGUUCCAGGAGGUGGAAUUUUCUAAAGUUCCUGAGCCGACUUCUUCACAGGCACUCUCGACUGCAGAGAUAUCUUGCUGGCCCCAUCUAUAGAGAGCUUAUAAACAUAAAUGUAAUCAUGUAACUAACUCAUAUAUAAAUAGAUGAGGUCUGAGUGUAAGGGUUUUCUGGAGGGAGAAGCACGUGUUUCAAGAUAGUGUCAGAUGGCAGAGGCAGAAGGAAUCAAAAAAAUGGGGGCUUUUGUGGGUUACAGGGUGAGUUCAAAGCCAGCUUGCUACAUGACUUAGCAAGACUUUGCUUC